ACGGAAUUGAGGUCUCAGUCAGCGAGGGUCUCAAUGGUGCACUUGCAGGUCACAAUGACAACGCACUGCCUUUCCACCAUAAAGGAAUGUUAAGGAGCCAUACAGCACUGGCACUGCAUAUUUGAAUUCUAGGCCACUUGUGUAGCUAGCCGCUACAUUGGUGACCCCGACAGGCCGAAACGUUUUUGGACCCACGAUGUCUGCACAACAAGAGGUAUAGGCAGUAGCCCUUAAACUGCCUACCUUCUAGACCCUCUGGCCUCGUGUCCGGUUCAACCAGGCCGAGGCCCAGUUCCAGAUUUGCCAGAUCACCAGGGACGACACCAAGUACUACUACGUGGUGAGCGCCCUCGACCAAGA